CUUAGUCUGAGAUAAUGAAAUGGAAUUUUACCAACAACACUUAGUUCCUGAUCCCAUUGAGAGUCCUUUAAUUUAAGAGAUUGGGGAUGGGUUUCUUGUAACCUUUGAGGUCAGAUAUUAGGUUUUUGAGAAAGUUGAGAUCAAGGAUUUUCCUAAAUAAAUAGAGUCAAAAUUCUGUUUCCACAGGCUUUUUAGUCUGCUUCUGUAUUGCUUUUAUUUCAUAAGCAACAAGAAGUUAUGUUGAGAAAAAAGUCAAUCUUCUCAGCAAUCCUUUUUUUACUAAUAGUACAAGAAGGAUCUGUUGCACCAAUGACUGAGAAACCAAGCAUUGAACCAGGAGAGGUGCCAACAGUUGAUUCAAACACAAAAUUAAGCAACACUCAAUCAAGUGAGGAACCAAACUUAGAACCAAGUGAGCAACCCAGCAUGCAACCAACGGAAGAUCUAAGUGGGGAUUCAAGUGGAGAAUCCAGUGAAGGAGGAGAAAUACCUGUUGAACCAAGCACAGAACCAAGCGAAAGAUCCACAGUAGAGGCAAGUGAUGUAACAGCCAAGGAGUCAAAUACCGCACCGUCUGGGGAACCUAGCCUGGAAUUCAACCUAGAACCAGGAGAUUUUUCCAAUAUACUUCCAAGUAAAGAAUCAUAUGAGGAUAAAAUUAUACAAACAACCAUGGUAUCUCUCUUGCAACCAACAACAGGCACUGAGUAAAGAAAAAUGCUUCAGUAAUACAGCAGCAAUCUCAGUACAAAAUGCAUUGAUGGUUUUCUUAAGCAGCUCCUCCAUGGAUGGAAAUAAUGGAAUGUUCUAGUUUGGAAAACCACAGAGUUAAUUCUUGAGCUUCAGUGAAACACAAAUCAAUUCCUGCUUCUUUUUUCUCUUUGUUAUUUAUUAAAUGGUUGAUAUCUCAGAAAAUUACAGUUCUCUUGCAUCAACGAGACUGUCUUAAUCUAUUAUCCCUUCUGCAUCACUUUCACAUUUACAUUUGAUAGCUCCUUAUAAGUUAACUAAAGUGUACAAAAUGCAUUGCAGUAAAUUUAAAAUAAAAAUUAUUAUAAG